GCUGGCGACCGGCGCACGGGUGAGUAACACGUAUCCAACCUGCCGAUGACUCGGGGAUAGCCUUUCGAAAGAAAGAUUAAUACCCGAUGGCAUAGUUCUUCCGCAUGGUAGAACUAUUAAAGAAUUUCGGUCAUCGAUGGGGAUGCGUUCCAUUAGGUUGUUGGCGGGGUAACGGCCCACCAAGCCUUCGAUGGAUAGGGGUUCUGAGAGGAAGGUCCCCCACAUUGGAACUGAGACACGGUCCAA
rnacentral:rRNA from 1 species